rnacentral:ncRNA from 1 species
UUACUUAAUAUACACAUGCAAGUCUCCGCACCCCUGUGAAAACGCCCUUAAUCCCGCUAGGGAAAAGGAGCCGGUAUGAGGCACGAAAAUCUGCCCAAAACACCUAGCUACGCCACACCCUACAAGGGGAACUCAGCAGUGAUUAACAUUUAAUAUAACCUGACAGCUUGAUUCAUUUCAUUUAUUGUAUAGCCGGCUAAUCUGGUGCCAGCCGCGCCGCUUACACCAUGGGGCCUCAAAUUAAUAUCUAUCGGCGUAAAGGGCUGAUUAAAGUUUUUUAAAAGUGUUAAAUUAAAACUAAGCUGUGACACGCUUGUGAUUAAGAAACCCGAGAACGAAAGUUACCCCAAAUUAUACCAACUUGAACUCACGACAGCUAGAAUACAAACUGGGAUUAGAUACCCCACUAUGCCUAGCCGUAAACUUUAAAUUCAACACACAUCGCCCGAGGAACUACGAGCAAUGCUUAAAACUCAUAAGGACUUGACGGUACCCCAUAUCCCCCUAGAGGAGCCUGUCCUAUAAUCGAUAACCCCCGUUGAACCUCACCCUGAUUUUUAAGCCAAUCAGCCUGUAUACCUCCGUCGUCAGCUUACCACGUGAGCGAAACUCAGUGAGCUUAAUGCCUUUACACCAAUACGUCAGGUCAAGGUGCAGCAAAUGAAAUGGAAAGAGAUGGGCUACACUAUUCUAAUAUAGAAAACACGAAAGACUUUAUGAAAUCUAGUCGGAAGGCGGAUUUAGCAGUAAAAAGAAAUCUGAUUAUUCUUUUUAACACGGCACUGGGGUGUGUACACCCCGCCCGUCACCC